AGAGAGAAGAGGAAAGAAAGGAACAGCAAGGUCAGAUUUCCCUCUCACCCUGGGGCUGAGCUUCCAGGUAUGCCAAAAGGUAUUUGGCAAUAUUCCCAGGCCUCAUUCAUUCAAGUUGCUCCUUCAUCAAACAUUUAUUGAAGGUUUAUCCUGUUCCCUAGCAUUUUGAUAAGAGCUAUGGAUACUAUUAUAAACAACACAGGUGUAACACACGUCUUUCUCUGGAGGAACAUCUACUGCUUUCUGACAGUCUCAGUACCGCUGGAUAACUUAGCACUAUCAUUUCUCGAACAGGGUUUUCUUUUAUAACCAGAAGAAAAUCAGCCUCUUUCAGUGGAAGAUUCUGCUUUUCAGAAGGAGGAUUAUGAUGCUUUUCAGGAACAGAACCAGCUGUGGUUUGAUCUAUCAUCCGAUACAUCCCAACAGUGGGAAAUACAUCUUACUUGAUUGAUGAAAAUAAUAAUAUACUUGUCUGCUGGAGAAAACAAAUGUCUACUGAAAUUGGAUAAUGACCUAUCCUGCCAUCAUGCUCAGAGAGUCCCGGUCAGGGGCACAGGAUGCCCCCUGAGAGGUUCGAGGAUCUGAGAGUGGGGAGGACCUUACCCCACUUCCCAAACCAGGUUCAGGAGCUAUAUUGGGCUCUUCAUAUGACAUGCUAUGAGGUAUGUGUACGCUAAGACUGGCCCAAGUAGCAUAUACAUGUUUCCAUUUGUCUUCCCAAG